AAUCGCAAAGUACCCGUAGCAACACUUUUCGAAUUCCCGUUUCCCGUUUUCUAAUGACGGGGUACCAACGACUCGUCGACAGGAACAAGUCUUCAAAUAAUAGGUUACAUGUUUGAGUGGUGUUGUCUUUUGCUAAUUGGUGGAUACGGAUUUUGACCGGGUACUGGUAUGUUGGCACAGGACUUUUCGGAGUCCCGACAAUAACUAAAUCUCCUACUCAAGAAUGAUUGAUAAUACUGAAAGUAUGGUUCCACUCUACAUGUGACGGCCUAGCUUAAAUUGCUAACCCUAACCUUGUGACGACUUUUAGAAGGACAGACAUGUUGUUUUCUGUUAUAUUAAUUCAUCUUAAUAUCACAGUUGCGCAUCAACCACGACAAUGGACCCUUACGUGUGUUGCCAUCCACUGCCAUUAUAUUUUUUUUUAAUUUCCGACGGACGCGUGCGCAACCCGUGCGAGAACCUAGCGGCGAUAGCAUCGGCGGCUAACAGGAUGAAGAGAGGUGUCGCGAUAAGCUCACACCGUUCUGGAAGAAUAAAUGCGGUGACAUAACUUCAGGUUGCGUCAACGUAGAUUAGAUCGUAUAGUGAACGGGCAAGCCUUUUAAAAAAUGAUCUGGAUAUUUGGUGUCUUGUUUUGUUUAGAUAGCGGUGAAGGGAACGAAAGUUCACAUCGGUGAGAUCGUUAUAAAAGCUUUCAAAGAUGUGUUUAUUUGUCCUGCUCUAUUCGCUUAUCACUUACUAGUCCUUACAGCACCCCCCCAAAAAAAUAUCCUCUUCCUGUUUACAUUCUUGGGAGUCAUAAAAGUGUCACAUGGUUUGUUGUGACGCAUUUGGGGACACUUGGAAUUUGUAUUAUUUUUUUUUAACUCAACGAUGAGGCACUAAGCAUCGUUCUAAAAAUGCGGGUACAUUUUCGAGCUAGCAACGGGCUAUUCCAUUUUCCCGAAAUGGCGUCUUUUAAUUCUGGUGUGACCUGGUUUUCAUCGGCAACAGUAUGCUAGCUUGAAUUCCUUAAUAGGGAGACGAUUCAAAGACUAAUUCAUUUUUCGCAUCGGUUAUA